AGAGGUUACUGCUAUCGAGGUUCGACUAAGCCAUGCGAGUCGAAUGUAGCAAUACAUGGCGAACUGCUCAGUAACACGUGGACAACCUGCCCUUAGGACGGGGAUAAACCCGGGAAACUGGGUAUAAUACCCGAUAGGUCUCGAUUGCUGGAAUGCAUCGAGAUUUAAAGCUCCGGCGCCUAAGGAUGGGUCUGCGGCCUAUCAGGUAGUAGUGGGUGUAGCGUACCUACUAGCCUACGACGGGUACGGGUUGUGAGAGCAAGAGCCCGGAGAUGGAUUCUGAGACACGAAUCCAGGCCCUACGGGGUGCAGCAGGCGCGAAAACUUCGCAAUGGGGGCAACCCCGACGAGGGAAUUCCAAGUGCCAGCACUUUG
rnacentral:rRNA from 1 species